AGAUGUCUGUGAGAUGCUGUGACGGCAUACUGAUGAGCUCUCAGGAUGAUUUUAUGUAGAAAACAGCUGCAUUUUCACAGACUGAGUCAUGUGUGUCUAUUGAAGUCUCAGCAGGAUUGACAGGUGUUACCCAUAAAGAAACCCCUACUCGGGACCCUAAUUUAACCACAGUCAACACUUGUCUAAGAGUAAGACCAAACGACAGAGGGUGGGAGAACUGAGAGGAGAUUUUCUCCAGAUGCAGCCUUUUCAUGCUGGAGAAAGGCCAGGUUAAAUGCACUCAUGCUUUAGCUAUUUUGUGGGCAGCCUAGUUGUUGGAGGCGGGACCUAAAGUUACAGAGUUAAAAAAAAAAGAUCUUCCAUCCUUCUGUUUCGUUGCUAGUCUCUGGACUUUAAUGUGCAAAGAUGUUUCAGCUGGCUACAUCUCUCCAGAUGUGUUGCAUAUGAUAAAGCUGAUAUAGAGUCUUCAACAAGCACAGAAAUGCUAAAAUCCUUAUUUUAUAAUUUUUUUAGCAGAGACAGACUCUCAAUGUAUUUAAGAGAGUUGAGAGUUGUUAAGCACAAGGAGUCGCCUUUUACAAUAACAUUGACCGUGAUUUUCCACUGCGAGAGCUCUUGGAGACUAAGGGGGAGGGAUGAGACAAAGGAAGCUGGAAAAAAAUGAAUUCGUCUGCAGUUCUCUGAGCUGGAAUUUCUGGCAUCAUCAUCAUCAUCCAGACUUCUGAAUGUAACCGAAUGGAUGGGCAACAGAGAACCAGAAUUUCGUUCUGAAAACUUGCUUUAUUGUAGGGGCCGUGUGCUUGUUGGAAACUUUCAUUUGGUGGCAAUCUUUUUGUAUAUUCAUCACUUGUUUUCAUGGUAACCAAUCCCAAAAAAAGAAAAAAGAAAUGAUUACAAAGCUGUCUGAGUGCGCUUUUAGUCAUCUGAUCUUCAGACGAUCUUUGUUGAUUAAUGACAUCACAAAUAUCUUGAUGAUGUCAUUUUACAAGGUUAUUCAGACCUCCCACAGGAUUUUUAGUACUGGCAGUGGUGUGAAAAAACAGAGCGGUGCCUCUUUAAAUCCUGUGUGCCCUCCAUUUACACGUUAUGUCUUCCAGGUGUCUGUAGGGCUUUUUGUGGCCCUUUGUGAUGACUUUCUUUACCCUGAUACUAAAUUUACUUUUUAUUUACUUGCAAGGCAACAUUUUUAAAUGCUAAGAUAUCUCAAAACUCUUUGGACUGCUGUUUCCAAAAUAUGAUCAAAUUAAGUUACUUACAAAAGCAGACGGAUAUUAAUCUAAACCUUGCACGAUAAAGCAUGAUAGACAAACAGGAGUCUCAUAUGUCGCCUAUAAACUCAUGUAAAAUAUUUCAGUUUUUGAGAAUGGCCAGUAUAUGUAAGCAGCUUUGUCCACAGACUGACACCAUGGAAAAUGUGACAGUGCAGAUAUUCAGCAUGUGGAAAACCCACAUUACAGGCAGGGGGCUGAUGAACACCACCCAAAAAUUUGAAAGAUGAAAGAACAACUCGGACAUUAACAAAACAAACAAAAUGAUAAUUUCGGCUAUUAAUCAAUGAGUUAAAAUUACACUGUUAAACAUUUCUGUAGAAAUUACAGCUG